GACAGAGGGUGCAAACGUUGCUCGGAAUCACUGGGCGUAAAGGGCGUGUAGGCGGGAAGGAUAGUCAGAUGUGAAAUCCCUGGGCUCAACCCAGGAACUGCAUUUGAAACUCCCUUUCUUGAGUGUCGGAGAGGAAAGUGGAAUUCCUGGUGUAGAGGUGAAAUUCGUAGAUAUCAGGAGGAACACCGGUGGCGAAGGCGGCUUUCUGGACGACAACUGACGCUGAGACGCGAAAGCGUGGGGAGCAAACAGG
rnacentral:rRNA from 1 species